UACGAGGGGGGCGAGCGUUGUUCGGAAUUAUUGGGCGUAAAGGGUGCGUAGGCGGUUCCGCAAGUCCUGUGUGAAAUCUUCGGGCUCAACUCGAAGUCUGCACGGGAAACUGCCGUGCUAGAGUGCGGGAGAGGAGAGUGGAAUUCCUGGUGUAGCGGUGAAAUGCGUAGAUAUCAGGAGGAACACCGGUGGCGAAGGCGGCUCUCUGGACCGCAACUGACGCUGAGGCGCGAAAGCUAGGGGAGCAAACAGG
rnacentral:rRNA from 1 species